AUGAGGUACCUUUUGUAGAAUGGUCCGGCGAGUUAUUGUUACUGGCAAGCUUAAGGCAUUCAGUGCCGGAGGCGCAGGGAGACCGAGUCUGAAUAGGGCGUAUGAAGUCAGUGGCAAUAGACCCGAAACCGGGUGACCUAUCCAUGGGCAGGUUGAAGUGGGGGUAAAACCCCAUGGAGGACCGAACCGACCCCCGUUGCAAUGGUGGCGGAUGACCUGUGGAUAGCGGAGAAAUUCUAAUCGAACUUGGAGAUAGCUGGUUCUCCCCGAAAUAGCUUUAGGGCUAGCGUUGAUUUAGAUUACCGGAGGUAAAGCACUGAAUGGGCUAGGGGCUGAUAAAGUUACUGAACCCUAUCAAACUAAGAAUGCCGGCAAAUUGAUGAUCAGCAGUCAGACUACGUGAGAUAAGUCUCGUGGUCAAAAGGGAAACAGCCCAGACCCACAGCUAAGGUCCCAAAUAUACGCUAAGUGGAAAACGAUGUGAGAUUGCAUAAACAACCAGGAUGUUGGCUUAGAGGCAGCCACUCGUUCAAAGAGUGCGUAAUAGCUCACUGGUCGAGUGAUCUUGCGCGGAAAAUUUAACGGGGCUAAGCGUAUAACCGAAGCUUGGGAAUGUCGAAAGACAUUGGUAGGGGAGCGUCGUGUAUGGGGUGAAGUCGCAUCGGAAGGAGCGGUGGACUGUACACGAGUGAGAAUGCCGGAAUGAGUAGCGAGAAUUAUGUGAGAAUCAUAAUGGCCGAAAAUCUAAGGUUUCUUGGGGAAGGUUCGUCCGCCCAAGGUAAGCCGGGAGCUAAGGCGAGGCCGCAAGGCGUAGUCGAUGCACAUACGGUUGAAAUUCCGUAGCCACCUUAUUGAUAAAAAGCUGACACAUGGAGAUAGCGGGACCCGGGCGUUGGUUGACCCGGGCGUAAGGGACCGAAAUCAAGUAGGGAAGUCCGCGAUGCUCUGUGGCGAGAAAAGGCGAAGAUAAGGUGCCCGUACCGCAAACCGACACAGGUAGAUGAGGAGAGAAUCCUAAGGCCAACGGGAGAAGGGUUGUUAAGGAACUCGGCAAGUUGACCCCGUAACUUCGGAAUAAGGGGAGCCUCGAAAGAGGCCGCAGUGAAAAGGCCCAAGCAACUGUUUACCAAAAACACAGGUCUAUGCUAAAUCGAAAGAUGACGUAUAUGGGCUGACGCCUGCCCGGUGCCGGAAGGUUAAGAGGAGAUGUCAGGCAACGAAGCAUCGAAUUGAAGCCCCGGUAAACGGCGGCCGUAACUAUAACGGUCCUAAGGUAGCGAAAUUCCUUGUCAGGUAAGUUCUGACCCGCACGAAUGGCGUAACGAUUUGGGCGCUGUCUCAACAGCCUACCCGGCGAAAUUGUAGUACCGGUGAAGAUGCCGGUUACCCGCAACUAGACGGAAAGACCCCAUGGAGCUUUACUGCAGCUUAAUACUGAGAUUCGGUAAUUCAUGUACAGGAUAGGUGGGAGACUUGGAAACAGGGGCGUCAGCUUCUGCGGAGUCACCCUUGGGAUACCACCCUUGGAUUGCUGGGUUUCUAACCUGCGGCCAUGAAUCUGGUCGGGGGACACUGUUAGGCGGGCAGUUUGACUGGGGCGGUCGCCUCCUAAAAAGUAGCGGAGGCGCUCAAAGCUUGGCUCAGCAUGGAUGGAAAUCAUGCAAUGAGUGUAAACGUAUAAGCCAAGUUGACUGCGAGACCGACGGGUCGAGCAGGGACGAAAGUCGGAGUUAGUGAUCCGGUGGUAUGUGAGUGGAAAUGCCAUCGCUCAACGGAUAAAA
rnacentral:rRNA from 1 species